rnacentral:rRNA from 1 species
GUGUCAGCCGCCGCGGUAAUACAGAGGGUGCGAGCGUUAAUCGGAAUUACUGGGCGUAAAGCGCGCGUAGGCGGCUUUGCAAGUCGAGUGUGAAAUCCCCGGGCUUAACCCGGGAACUGCAUUCGAGACUGCAUAGCUAGAGUAUGGGAGAGGGAAGUGGAAUUUCAGGUGUAGCGGUGAAAUGCGUAGAUAUCUGAAGGAACAUCAGUGGCGAAAGCGACUUCCUGGACCAAUACUGACGCUCAUGUGCGAAAGCGUGGGGAGCAAACAGGAUUAGAUACCCCUGUAGUCC